rnacentral:tRNA from 3 species
GCGGAUGUGGCGGAAUUGGUAGACGCGCACGGUUCAGGUCCGUGUGGGAGCAAUCCCGUGGAGGUUCGAGUCCUCUCAUCCGCA